AUUGAACGCUGGCGGCAGGCCUAACACAUGCAAGUCGAACGAGUGGCGGACGGGUGAGUAAUGUCUGGGAAACUACCCGAUGGAGGGGGAUAACUACUGGAAACGGUAGCUAAUACCGCAUACCCUCGGAUGUGCCCAGAUGGGAUUCGCUCGUAGGUGGGGUAACGGCUCACCUAGGCGACGAUCCCUAGCUGGUCUGAGCGGAUGACCAGACAGACUGGCACUGAGACACGGUCCAGAGUCCUACGGGAGGCAGCAGUGGGGAAUAUUGCACAAUGGGCGCAAGCCGGAUGCAGCCAUGCCGAGUGUAUGAAGAAGGCCUUCGGGUUGUAAAGUACUUUCAGCGAGGAGGCGUUACUCGCAGAAGAAGCACCGGCUAACGCCGUGCCAGCAGCCGCGGUAAUAC
rnacentral:rRNA from 1 species